rnacentral:rRNA from 1 species
GCGCAGCAGUCGCGAAUCUUCGGCAAUGGACGCAAGUCUGACCGAGCGACGCCGCGUGCGGGAUGAAGGCCCUUGGGUUGUAAACCGCUGUCAGAGGGGAUGAAAUGCGAGAGGGCUAUCCCUCUCGUUUGACAGAGCCUCAGAGGAAGCACGGGCUAAGUACGUGCCAGCAGCCGCGGUAACACGUACUGUGCGAACGUUAUUCGGAAUCACUGGGCUUAAAGGGUGCGUAGGCGGUUUAGUAAGUAGGGUGUGAAAUGCCAGAGCUCAACUUUGGCACGGCGCUCUAAACUGCUAAACUUGAGUGAGAGUAGGGGUGUACGGAACUUCCGGUGGAGCGGUGAAAUGCGUUGAUAGUCGGAAGGAACACCGGUGGACGAAAAGCGGUACACUGGGUCUUAACUGACGCUGAGGCACGAAAGCCAGGGUAGCGAACGGGAUUAG